ACUAUCAAGCCUUGAAGCAUAAGUUACAGUAUCAAAA
rnacentral:sRNA from 1 species